UGAACGCUGACAGAAUGCUUACCACAUGCAAGUCUUUGGCGAAGCUGUGCUUGCACCGCCUAGCCAAGGCGGACGGGUGAGUAACGCGUAAGGAACUUGCCCUGCAGUCAGGGAUAACAGACGGAAACGACUGAUAAGACCUGGUAAAGUCAGGCGGACUCAUGUCCAGCCUGAUGAAAAGAGAUGCUGCAGGAGAGCCUUGCGUCCUAUUAGCUUGUUGGUGGGGUAACGGCCCACCAAGGCGAUGAUAGGUAGCCGGCCUGAGAGGGUGGACGGCCACAAGGGGACUGAGAUACGGCCCUUACUCCUACGGGAGGCAGCAGUGGGGAAUAUUGGACAAUGGGGGCAACCCUGAUCCAGCAAUUCUGUGUGCACGAUGAAGGUUUUCGGAUUGUAAAGUGCUUUCAGCAGGGAAGAAAAAAUGACGGUACCUGCAGAAGAAGCGACGGCUAAAUACGUG
rnacentral:rRNA from 1 species